UACGAAGGGGCUAGCGUUGCUCGGAAUCACUGGGCGUAAAGCGCACGUAGGCGGACUCUUAAGUCGGUGGUGAAAUCCUGGAGCUCAACUCCAGAACUGCCUUCGAUACUGAGAGUCUCGAGUCCGGGAGAGGUGAGUGGAACUGCGAGUGUAGAGGUGAAAUUCGUAGAUAUUCGCAAGAACACCAGUGGCGAAGGCGGCUCACUGCCCGGUACUGACGCUGAGGUGCGAAAGCUGGGGAGCAAACAG
rnacentral:rRNA from 1 species